AGAGCGAACGCUGGCGGCAGGCUUAACACAUGCAAGUCGAGCGGGCGUAGCAAUACGUCAGCGGCAGACGGGUGAGUAACGCGUGGGAACAUACCUUUUGGUUCGGAACAACACAGGGAAACUUGUGCUAAUACCGGAUAAGCCCUUACGGGGAAAGAUUUAUCGCCGAAAGAUUGGCCCGCGUCUGAUUAGCUAGUUGGUGAGGUAACGGCUCACCAAGGCGACGAUCAGUAGCUGGUCUGAGAGGAUGAUCAGCCACAUUGGGACUGAGACACGGCCCAAACUCCUACGGGAGGCAGCAGUGGGAAUAUGGACAAUGGGCGAAAGCCUGAUCCAGCCAUGCCGCGUGAGUGAUGAAGGCCCUAGGGUUGUAAAGCUCUUUGUGCGGGAAGAUAAUGACGGUACCGCAAGAAUAAGCCCGGCUAACUUCGCGUCAGCAGCCGC
rnacentral:rRNA from 1 species